UUGGUUUUGUGUUUAUUUGUUAGCAGAAUUAGAAAAAAAUGCUGUAUAUUUUGUUUCUUUCGGCUUUUCCUGGUUAUCUAUAUUUGUCUUGAGCCCUUUAAAUUCCGGAUGCCCUCCCUGACAAAUACCAAUGACGCUUACUAGUGGAGAUUAACAUACAAUAUUACUGGAUUGGUUUGUGAAACCCGUAUGUUAUUUUUCCAUAUACAAUGCUCAAGGGUUAAUGCCACUGUUUGCUAUACCAUUUCAGUGUUAUUAUACUCAUUAAUUUCACACACGUAUCAUUUAAAUUUACGACAGUUUUACGACAGUCGUGGCGUCAUGGCGGCCACUGGUGAGGGCUGCCAGGCUUGCAUAUGGUCAGGCCACGUGUGUACCACUGCAUGGAUUUCUGGCGUUUUUCUGCUAGUUGAACCUCUUUGGAGUGUCACUUUUAUUGGAUGAAGGCGUCACAGACAGUGAAGGUGAAGAAGGACCAGACUUCUGCAGGACAGGACAAAGUUGAAAAGAGCUGCCUGGUCAGGGCGGCGCUGAGUGCGGCUUUGACCUCACAGCUGGUAGACACUUUGGCAUAGUGUGCGACGUCGUGGCCUUGUGCGUCCACCGCACUUAGGAGCGCCCCGUGCUCAACCAGAACCUCGAUGACGGGCACCACAUUGGAUUCCGUGGCGAGCAUGAGAGCAGUCCUGCAACAUGGUCGCUGUUACACUACAUUUUUUGUUUUGUCCUUGUUGUGUCCUCAAUUAUGUUAGCUGUCUACCUGCCGCUGUUGUCAGAAAUGCUGAUUUCAGCACCGCUGUCCAGCAAAGCGCUGCACACCUCAGCGUAGCCACGUCUGGCUGCCAGAAGCAGAGGGGUGUGGCCAUCCUUUGGGGAAACAGCAGUAGUAGUAGUACCAUUAGAUAGCUACAGAAAUACUGCAUAACUCAUGUGGAGUGACAUCAGGACAAGGACUUAGACACGAAUGGUAUGUUCAGUGACUGUGUGGUGAGAGAAAUCCCAGACCCAUGUGAAAAAGCACAACACAACAGUUAGCAAAGCUGGGAGAGUGUACAGUUCUGUGGGAUUUAUUGCUAAGAGCCUGGCAGCUGCAUGAGUGUAUUUAUCUCCAGGAAUGGCAGAUCUUAACCCCAUGUGUGACCUUUAACCUUAGCCUUAUAUGUGCUAAAUGCACAACAAACCUCUUACUGUGAGCUGGGGGGAUGUUUGAAGGCCGUACGUUGAAACGUGCCAAAUAGUGAAACAGUGUGGUUGAUUCUUAAUGAUAAAGCUCAUCCUUGUUAUCUGAUGUGUAUUUAUUGAAAGACAUGUGAGAAUGCCCUGUGUGCACAUGCGGAUGAUGGUAGCUAGGAAUGUAAAUAACAUAGACAGACAAGCACUAAACGCCAUCCAAUCGGAUGAAACCACAACCGCGGUAAGCACCACUGCAACAGAGACCACAUGUCUGCGGCUUGAGAGUGCAGUUCUCACAGUACAUGGACCCCUCUAUAUAUUAGUACAUGUUAUAUAUAAGUGAUGCAAGCAUAUUAGUCAUCAUCACGGAAGCCCAUGCCUUUAUAUGAAACAUUUCUCAUAUACUUUCUGAGGUAUUUCAUUCCAUGCAAGACGGUACGUACUGUAUCUUUAAGGUUGAUGGGGCUUUUCAGUUCACACAGAAACUGGACAGUCUGGAUCUUCCCGCCGAGAGCUGCGUAUGAAAUAAAACUGGCAAUAAAUGAUCAGCAUUCCAAAGUUAUUGUGGAAGGAUUACACCAAUGACGUUCUCUUUUGUUUCCUUCAUCGAGCAGCCCAAAUUCAUUAAGAGAUGAUGCAAAAGCCGCAGCACUUUCAUGAAUCACUCCGUGCUGCACUUUAAAUCGCAUCUGAUGAACUGGAUAGUGACCGGGACACUUACCGGCGUGAUGCAAAGCGGUCCUCCCCGAGCCGUCAACCGCAUCAA